rnacentral:Y_RNA from 1 species
AGUUGGUCCGAGUGCAGUGGUGUUCAUGGCUGACUGAGCACAGCCAGUGACAGAUGAGCUGGUUCUGUCUCCACUCCCACUGUUUCGCUUCACUAGCCUUAA